GGGUUGUGAGGUUAAGCGACUAAGCGUACACGGUGGAUGCCCUGGCAGUCAGAGGCGAUGAAGGACGUGCUAAUCUGCGAAAAGCGUCGGUAAGGUGAUAUGAA
rnacentral:rRNA from 1 species